rnacentral:ncRNA from 1 species
UGCAAAGCGAUGAAUGGGACCAGUAAAUGAUGAACGGCAACAAGAGAGUGAAGCCCACAGGCUGAAAGGCUUCAUUGUCCUCUUCAUCAUUGAACCUAUCCCAUGAGCUGUUAGGAAAACCUAACCGUCCAGCCGACGAUACCGGCUAUGAGGUGGGCACAGCUUGUGCCAACAAAGGUGGUACCGCGGAAAAAAAAGCCUUUUCCGUCCUUUAU